UGGCCACUCUGUUUCUACGUGCUGUUUGUUCGAAUGAGGCCACCGCCACCUUUACCAUCUCGAAUUAAAUCAUGGCUCGAAAUAAAAAUAUGUUGAUUAUUUAUAACGAUAACUACCGUGAAAAAAUACAAAAUUCGCUGUUUGAGACAGCAGUUGAAUGUGCUACUAGUAAUAAAUAUGUGCUUUUUGUAACGGAGAAGCCUAUAAAAGAUGUUUCUGCAAAGGUUCUGCAUUCUUAUAGUAGUAUUUACAAGAAGAUUAUAUUCAUCUACUCUGAUUCUGUUGAAGCUAUAUUGCUAAAAAUCACCGAAAUCCAACAAUGGAAUUUCACACCCAGUCUUAUAAUUAUGGAGUCAAUUCAUAAGAUGAUCAAAAUCUGCGACGACGUGCAUUAUAUUUACCGUUUGCUGUUUUCGACGGCUUUAGAUGCUGUUCAAAACUUUUCACGAAAGCAAAAUGACAAAUGCAUUUGUAUUUUUGGAUUUUCCCGUGAUAUACUUAGAUCAGAAAAUAUUGCAAUAGAUAUGUUUUUCAGAGAAUUCAAAGUACUGGACGCAGAAGUGUUAAAUGCUUCUUUUAAUAUUUUAGAUGCUUUUAUAGUGUAGACGAAUUAAAUUACAUUACUGAUAUUUGAA